rnacentral:rRNA from 2 species
GUCCGGACUGGCCCAGAGAGGUGGGCAACUACCACUCAGGGCCGGAAAGCUCUCCAAACUCGGUCAUUUAGAGGAAGUAAAAGUCGUAACAAGGUCUCCGUUGGUGAACCAGCGGAGGGAUCAUUA